UCUAAAAUAAAUCAAAAUAAAUUGAGAAAAAAAUCUACAAAAAUCAGCAAUAUCAAUACCUGAAACUUCAUCAGAAAAGAUUCAGAGUAAAUUUAAGGUCAGUAAAUGAAAAUGGUAAAUUGAUAAAAAUCCCCAAUUCUUUAAUACAUAAGAAAAGAGAAAAAGAGCAGACACUUAGUUUAAUAAACUAAUGAGACACUAAGACAGUAAUGCACGCAUGAGUGAAUGAUAUAUUCUUUCUCAGACAAAAUAUAACUGAUAUAUCUAAGUGUGCAGAAAUGAAACCAAGAAAACACAAAGUAAAAGAUUGGUCUUGAGAACUAUCUUACAGGAUUUGGCAGG
rnacentral:misc_RNA from 1 species